AACGCACGAGACCUGCGGACCUGCGGAGGGAUCAUCACUAAGGAUGUUUAAAUCCGAGGUAAUUGGAGAUUGAUAUGAAGAUUGGUAGAUUGUUCUGCCAAUAUUAAUACUAUCUAAUAAAAUAACCUAAUUCUAAUACAAAACAAUACAACUUUUAGCAACGGAUCUCU
rnacentral:misc_RNA from 1 species